rnacentral:rRNA from 1 species
UCCAUAGGUUAAUGAGGCGAACCGGGGGAACUGAAACAUCUAAGUACCCCGAGGAAAAGAAAUCAACCGAGAUUCCCCCAGUAGCGGCGAGCGAACGGGGAGCAGCCCAGAGCCUGAAUCAGUGUGUGUGUUAGUGGAAGCGUCUGGAAAGGCGCGCGAUACAGGGUGACAGCCCCGUACACAAAAAUGCACAUGCUGUGAGCUCGAUGAGUAGGGCGGGACACGUGGUAUCCUGUCUGAAUAUGGGGGGACCAUCCUCCAAGGCUAAAUACUCCUGACUGACCGAUAGUGAACCAGUACCGUGAGGGAAAGGCGAAAAGAACCCCGGCGAGGGGAGUGAAAAAGAACCUGAAACCGUGUACGUACA